UACGUAGGGUCCGAGCGUUGUCCGGAAUUACUGGGCGUAAAGAGCUCGUAGGUGGUUUGUCGCGUUGUCCGUGAAAACUCACAGCUCAACUGUGGGCGUGCGGGCGAUACGGGCAGACUGGAGUACUGCAGGGGAGACUGGAAUUCCUGGUGUAGCGGUGGAAUGCGCAGAUAUCAGGAGGAACACCGGCGGCGAAGGCGACUCUCUGGUCCAUAACUGACGCUGAGUGUGCGAAAGCUAGGGGAGCAAA
rnacentral:rRNA from 1 species